rnacentral:rRNA from 1 species
GACGAACGCUGGCGGCGUGCUUAACACAUGCAAGUCGAACGGAAAGGCUCUGCUUUUGUGGGGUGCUCGAGUGGCGAACGGGUGAGUAACACGUGAGUAACCUGCCCUUGACUAUGGGAUAACUUCAGGAAACUGGGGCUAAUACCGGAUAGGAGCUCCUGCUGCAUGGUGGGGGUUGGAAAGUUUCGGCGGUUGGGGAUGGACUCGCGGCUUAUCAGCUUGUUGGUGGGGUAGUGGCUUACCAAGGCUUUGACGGGUAGCCGGCCUGAGAGGGUGACCGGCCACAUUGGGACUGAGAUACGGCCCAGACUCCUACGGGAGGCAGCAGUGGGGAAUAGUGCACAAUGGGCGGAAGCCUGAUGCAGCAACGCGGCGUGGGGGAUGACGGCCUUCGGGUUGUAAACCGCUUUCGCCUGUGACGAAGCGAGAGUGACGGUAAUGGGUAAAGAAGCACCGGCUAACUACGUG